rnacentral:lncRNA from 1 species
GAAAAGUGCCCCAGCUCCCCUAGGGCAAGGAGUGGGAGGUGGUUGUCUCCAUUCCUUAUGGAUUGGAUGGCUUCUUCCACAAACAGCUCUGCUCACCCUGCAGAACUAACCUUUAGAUGACUUUUAAAGGUCCUUUCCAGUCCAAAGGGAUUUAUCCAGCCCAUGAGGGUCCCAGGGAGUGGCUUCUCAUGAGGACCCACCUAGAGCUGAAAAGGUCUGCACAUCUUGCAGGUGACCUGGAGACCUUCAGCUUCUGCUUCCUGUCUCGAGCCGCACAUGAGCAGCAAGAAUGUGUUGGUGAAAGCAGAGGAAGGAAAGGAAGAGGUCUGCACGGCAUUCAUUAAUCAUUUCAUCAGGAAGGAGUUCAAAGCAGAGGCCAGCCUUAACAAGGGCUGCAGGCAGAGAUGGG